AUGGAAAAUGGAAGAUAUCAAGUAGCCUGGCCAUGGAAAGAAAAAUUACCGGAACUUCCUGAAAAUAGGGAACUUGCAUACGGAAGACUAAAGUCACUUUUUCAGAAAAUGAAGAACAAUCCUGACCUAUUAAACAAGUAUGAUGAGAUUAUUCAAGACCAGUGCAAAAAGGGCAUCAUAGAAAAGGUGUCAAACCAAUGUAGUAAGGAUACCGGAAUCAAGCAUUACAUACCACAUCAUGCUGUAGUUGACCCAACCAAACCUACAACUAAAGUAAGGAUAGUUUAUGAUGCGUCUGCCAAAUCAAAACAAGAGAAUAAAAGUUUGAAUGAUUGCCUGCACAGAGGACCUGUAAUGUUACAAGAUUUAUGUGGACUCUUGUUGCGUUUUCGAAUGAACAAAAUUGCAGUAGUUGCUGAUAUUGAAAAGGCAUUUCUCCAAAUUGAACUACAAAAAAAAAUGACAGAGAUGCAACUAGAUUUUUUUGGCUAA
rnacentral:sRNA from 1 species